rnacentral:rRNA from 1 species
CAGCAGCCGCGGUAAUACGAAGGGUGCAAGCGUUACUCGGAAUUACUGGGCGUAAAGCGUGCGUAGGUGGUGGUUUAAGUCCGUUGUGAAAGCCCUGGGCUUAACCUGGGAAUUGCAGUGGAUACUGGGUCACUAGAGUGUGGUAGAGGAUAGUGGAAUUUCCGGUGUAGCAGUGAAAUGCGUAGAGAUCGGAAGGAACAUCUGUGGCGAAGGCGACUAUCUGGGCCAACACUGACAUUGAGGCACGAAAGCGUGGGGAGCAAACAGGAUUAGAUACCCCGGUAGUCCCUGUCUCUUAUAC